GUCAGUAACUCAACCCUAAAGGGAUUGAGCUUGUAAGAGAAAUCAAACAAGCUGUACUGACCAGACCACCCUGAGCGAUGUCGAAGGGUAGCCGUUAUUUGAGUCACGACACCUUGGAAUGCGUUCGCGCCAGCGUGCCGUCAGGCAUAGCUAGUUCCCCGCUCUGUCGCUGUAAGUUAAACAGUUCUAAAGUCACUGGAACAGUGCUUUCAGCCUAACAAGCUCUUAUAACAGGUCGUUCGCGUAAGCGUGCCGGAG
rfam:Aphanizomenon flos-aquae 2012/KM/D3 mira_39_len_T:19992, whole genome shotgun sequence.